rnacentral:rRNA from 1 species
GACGAACGCUGGCGGCGUGCUUAACACAUGCAAGUCGAACGGAAAGGCCCUGCUUUUUUGUGGUUCUCGCGUGGCGAACGUGUGUGUUACCCGUGAGUCUCCUUCCUUUUACUUUAUGAUAACUUCAGGCAACUGGUGCUACUACCUGCUUCGUGCUCCUGCUGCUUGGUGGGGUUUGGAAAUUUUCGUCGGUUGGGGAUGUACUCGGGGCUUAUCAGCUUGUUGGGGGGGUAGUGGCAUACCAAGGCUUUGGAGGGUAGCCGGCCUGAGAGGGUGAACGGGCACAAGGGGACUGAGAGACGGACCAGUGGCGUACGGGAGGCAGUAGUGGGGAAUAUGGCACAAUGGGCGGAAGCGUGAGGAAGAAACGUCGCGAGCGGGAUGAAGGCCUUCGGGUGGUAAACCGCUGUCGGCUGUGACGAAGCGGGAGUGACGGUAAUGGGUAAAGAAGCACCGGCUAACUACGUG